GCUUAAUGGUAGAGCAGUGGUUUCCAAAACCAAAGGUUGAAGGUUCGAGUCCUUUUCUUC
rnacentral:tRNA from 1 species